UGAACUUUUUUCCCCUUUUUCUUAAAAAAUAAAUGUUCAGUCGUGAAAUAAAGAAUUUAGGCAAAAGCUAAUCAAAUAGUCUUGAUCUCCAAAAAAUGAUGCGACAACUAAGAUCGUCGACAGUGUAUCAUCUUUACUUGUCCUAUUGCAGAAACUUAUUCUUGUCUCGUAACGUAUCAUAAACAUAUACAUAUUCAUUCUUAUGUUAGAAGUUAGCGUGUAACAACAACAUUAUCUUGGUUCAUUUUACGGAGUGUAUCAGGUGGAGUAACCCCGAGUACAUUCCCUUAAUUGACCGAUGAAAACCUAGCUAAGGUACACUGGACUCCCUCAGUGACGUGCGGGCCUACCUUUUGGAGCAUAUCCCGUUCCCCUUGGAGAACCUCUCGUAUCCCCCUUGGUGUGGAUAACAGAAAGACACGACAUCUACAUCUUACUUUAUGGUCUUUACCAUAUAUGAUAUCUUAUCUUACUUGGGUUUCUUGCUAACUUUCUAGUUCUCGACGAUCUAUGUCGAGGCUCUAUACUUUCCCCAUUCUUAGUUUAUCGCUACCCGAACAAACAUGUUAAACUCUCUUGUGCCUUCUUGAUGCAUAUGUUAACCUUGGCCAUGAUUUUCAUUUCAAGAAUCGUUUGAUGUUAUGUGCAUUGCUUAGAUGUUGUUUAGGGGUUAUAUAAUUGUAAAUCAUCGCAAAAAAAUCCUUGGACUGCGCUACAGGUCCCAUAAUGGGCCAACAAGCAAGUGAAAAGUUGGUUAUGGCAGAGACAUUUCGCUAUUGGGGAAAUGCAUCCUGGGGAAUUUUGCUAUUAGCGAAAUAUUUCGCUAAUAGCGAAUUUCGAUUAGUAAUGUCAUUUUUAGACAUGGAAUACCAUUUAGAAUUACCUAAUGUGGUGAAAAGAGUGGCAAAAGUAUUAUAGUUUCUAGAAGGAAGAAGUUGUUCAAGGAGAGACUCAAGAUCAAUGAUAGCAAAUACAGGCUUUGAAGAGCUGGGACACAGAGAUUGCGGAGGACGAGUAGGACAAUUCUGAAUUAAGUGUUUGGGUGACUUGCAGCAUCAACAACAGUUUGAAGCAAUAUGACCCUUUCUCAUGCAGUUAUGACAAUUUAUAGUGGGACAAUCAGAGAAAGAAUGUUCAGGCUUAAGGUCAAAAAAGAGUACACAAACUCUGUUAUUUCCUUCAUUUCAAGCCACCAAACAUUUUCAAAUAUUAAUACAUCUUAUUUAAAUCUGGAACAUUGGACACACAAACACUAUCCUCAAAUCAGUUUCUUUUCUUUGAGCAAUGAUUUUUCUUUGCUUCUUUAAAAAUCGACCAUCAGCUUAAUCUUA